rnacentral:rRNA from 1 species
CGCUGGCGGCGUGCCUAAUACAUGCAAGUCGAGCGGAAUGAUGAAGAAGCUUGCUUCUUCUGAUUUUAGCGGCGGACGGGUGAGUAACACGUGGGCAACCUACCUUGUAGAUUGGGAUAACUCCGGGAAACCGGGGCUAAUACCGAAUAAUCCAUUUUGCUUCAUGGCAAGAUGUUAAAAGGCGGCUUCGGCUGUCACUACGAGAUGGGCCCGCGGCGCAUUAGCUAGUUGGUAGGGUAAUGGCCUACCAAGGCGACGAUGCGUAGCCGACCUGAGAGGGUGAUCGGCCACACUGGGACUGAGACACGGCCCAGACUCCUACGGGAGGCAGCAGUAGGGAAUCUUCCACAAUGGACGAAAGUCUGAUGGAGCAACGCCGCGUGAGUGAAGAAGGUUUUCGGAUCGUAAAACUCUGUUGUAAGGGAAGAACACGUACGAGAGUAACUGCUCGUACCUUGACGGUACCUUAUUAGAAAGCCACGGCUAACUACGUG